GUGUCAGCAGCCGCGGUAAUACGUAGGGUGCAAGCGUUGUCCGGAAUUAUUGGGCGUAAAGAGCUCGUAGGCGGUCUGUCGCGUCUGCUGUGAAAACCUAGGGCUUAACUCUGGGCGUGCAGUGGGUACGGGCAGGCUAGAGUGCGGUAGGGGAGACUGGAAUUCCUGGUGUAGCGGUGAAAUGCGCAGAUAUCAGGAGGAACACCGGUGGCGAAGGCGGGUCUCUGGGCCGUAACUGACGCUGAGGAGCGAAAGCAUGGGGAGCGAACAGGAUUAGAUACCCCAGUAGUCC
rnacentral:rRNA from 1 species